CUCCCCCGUGGCACUCAAAUGUGGAAGCACUCUUCGGACAACUCAGUGAAAAGUGCUACAAUAUUUGGGUGUUGCUGGAGGG
rnacentral:pre_miRNA from 1 species